CCUGAGUCAAAAAGAACCAGCAGCUUCACAAGCUGAUUCUCUAAACAAGGGACAAAGAAAACUUAGGUGACAUGUUUAAAUGCACACACUCCUGAGUGACCUGUUGGCAUGAACUAGAAUCCCCAGAUAACAAAGCUGGAUGUCUGUGUUAGAAAACUAAUGCAUAUUGGGCUUGAAAAUGUUUGUGGUGGAAACAGCUGGCUCUUUUACUUCUUGAUGUCUACUAAUAGAUUUCAGCAGCCAAAUGCUCACUGACGAGUAUCUGCAUAUUCACUCAACCCCAGCUUGCCCAUGUGCAGUUGUGAAGGAAGAAGUAAUGUGGAGCACAGGCCUGACCACAGAGCUGACCACAUCUGAGCAGGAGCAACAGCACUGUGCCCAAAGACAGAGAUGGCUGGACAUUUCUGGUCUGCUU